UGCCAGCGGCCGGCCCCUCCCCCAGCACGCCGCCGACUGCCCCAUCUACCCUAGCGCGCCACCGCCGGCCCCCUCCCCUAGCACGUCGUCGAGCAGCCCCUGGAUGGCGCAACUCCGGCUGCACCAUCGUGGUGGAGGCGCGGCGCCGUCUUUGAGAUGCUCCAUCAGCUGCUCCUCCUCCUCCUGGUAUGCACAAGCUCCAAUUCGUCGAGAUGUUCCGUGGAGGUACUCCAUUUUAUGUUUUCAAUUCAUCUUAUGAAAAAGCAGAACAAACUAUGUGUCAUUUUUGUCAUUCACGCAAGUUCAGGCAUACCUUCUGCACAAGUUCAAAAUCUGAAGAAACAAAUCUCAAACCAAGUUCAGAAACUGUUUCUUUCAUAAAUUAGUUGUUUUGGUUAAUUCUGUAGUACAUGUGUGUACUGUGAUUGUAAUUGUGGCUUGGAGUUGAGAAAAAUAUAACAAAAAGGUACAUAAAAGAACCCAAAAACAUUCGGUAGUUUCUGGAAGCCCAAAGUUCAGUUCAACAUGUUUUCUAUCAUCAGCUCGUUAAGAACCCCAGAAACGGUUCAAUGUGUGUGUUAAAAAAAAUAGCUGGCUAUAUAUAGAAAAAAUUAGUAGCUAGGCAAAAAGAAGUUUGUAUCAGUUCAGACUUGCCUGCACGGAAGGAUAGAGGCCCUUGUCCCGUACGUUCAGGUUUGUAUCAAUGCUCCAGCCAACUCCAUUAUCUACUCAGUAAAUGCUCCACUGCUAAAUCCACUUGAAGUUUUGUCAGGUUUGGUGACUCCUCUCCCUUUCCCUUUUCAUGUAAUGCAUUUAGGCCCACCAGACUCACAUGACGACGCUGGCCGUCCACAGCCACCACCACAGGCCGUUCACAGCCACCACUCAUGGCCGUCACAAAAAACACUCCAAAGUGCAGACCAUACAUGAGGACAAGGGCGAGGAGGAGGCAGCAGGAAAGAGCUAAGCGAUCUUCAGUUCAUGUUUGCUGCGAUUUUCAGUCCAGCCGGCUUACUAUUUCAGCACCAGGGUAACUAAAAAGCUCUGCGUCUGACAGAAUAUCUCUUGUUAUAACUUUUAAAUUUGUCCAGAUGCGAGGAACAAAAUCUCCAGCCAACUUUUUGCUUUGCUGAUAUAAAUCAAGCUCUGUUUUGUUGUUGAGCAACAAAAUGUUAGCCGCAGGAGUUAAAAAAUCAGCUGCUUUGAACUAAAUCAAAAUGUGUCACGCAAGUUCAGGUAUACCUGCUGCAGGAGUUCAAAAAUGUGAAGAAACGAAGCUCAACCCAAGUUUAAAAACUGUUUCCUUAAUAAAUUAGUUGUUUUUGGUUAAUUUGUUGUUAUGGACAGUAAAAAAUACACACUAUUGUGUAGUGCAUGUGUGUAUUGUAAUUGUAAUUGUGGUUUGGAGUUCAGGAAAAGAUAACAAAAAGGUUCAUAGAAGAACCCAAAACAUUUGGUAGUUAUGUAAGCCCAAAGUUGAGUUCAACGUGUUUUCUAUCAUCAGCUCAUUAAGAACCCCAACGGUUCAAUGUGUGUGUUCAAAAAAAUAGUGUGGCUAUAUAUUAAAAAAUUAGUAGCUCGGCAAAAAAGAAGUUUAACCGAUUCAGUGCAAGUUUUACUUCUGAAAACUGACAUUGUUCAUCAUGUACUGAUCCAUUUCAACUGUGGAUGUGUUUAAAAAAACUGAUGUUCGGCAUGUACUUAAAAUGCCAUUAAAAAA